UAGACCCAAAAAUCCUGGGCAGGGCGGUGAACUUGCGCCGUAGCAAACUUCAACAUUGCGACCUGCUCAACAAAUAAACUAAGGGCUUAGAAUAUGCCUAAUAUGCACGUUGCUUACUAUCUGGCAGACAGCAACCAAAAAUACCGAAAAUAAAUACAAGCUUCUUGUGCUUUAAGCAGUUUGGGUAUAAAUAUUAUGCACCGUGUCAGCAGCACUGCCGUCCAGGUGUCAUUUAUUGCCACUUUCCGGCUAUAAUAACAUAUAAUGGCACGGUUUUCAGCAUCAGCCGUGAGCCAUUUUGACGCCAGCUUCGGAAGCAAUUUUGCAGACAGCGAGCCCGGCUGUCGCAUUGCCGCACAAGGAUGUCCCGUAUCCCUCUAGCGGCUUACACUGCACCGAUGCCCGGCCUACAGUAUGUUAGGAUUUCUACACAAGCAGAUACCUCGAGAAGGCCAGGUCCAUCCUCAAGGACCAUAUCCAUCCUCAUCUACAAACUCACCCCUGCCAUCAGGGAAACAGUACCGGAGCACUGGAGCACAGAUAAACAGGCUCAAGAACAGUUUCUAUGCUCUAGCAGUGAAGCUGCUCAGUAGCUGUUAAUGCCACUGGCAUGGACAGUUUGCACAUUUCCUUUUUACUUAUUUAGUUUUUUCUUAAAUAUUUUGACUGUUUUACUUUUUAUGUCUAAUUUAUUUCUCUUAUAGCACUUACUGUAGGAAGCUUUUGAGGAAACCCAUUUCAUUGCCAGCAUGGCUGUUUGUUGCAUUGUUGUGCAUUUGAUAAAUAAACUGUGAUUUGAUUUGA